GACGAACGCUGGCGGCGUGCUUAACACAUGCAAGUCGAACGGAAAGGCCCUGCUUUUGUGCGAUGCUCGAGUGGCGAACGGGUGAGUAACACGUGAGUAACAUGCCCUUGACUUUGGGAUAAAUUCAGGAAACUGGGGCUAAUACCGGACAGGAGAUCCUGCUGCACGGGGGGGGAGGGAAAGUUUCGGCGGUUGGGGAUGGACUCGUGGCUUAUCAGCUUAUUGGUGGGGUAGUGGAUUACCAACGCUUUGAGGGGUAGCUGGCCUGAGAGGGUGACAGGCCACAUUGGGACUGAGAUACCGCCCAGAGUCCUACGGGAGGAAGCAGUGGGGAAUUGAGCGCGAUGGGCGGCAGCCUGAUGCAGCAUCGCCGCGUGCGGGAUGACGGCCUUCGGGUUGUAAACCGCUUUCGCGUGUGACGCAGCGUGAGUGACGGUAAUGGGUAAAGAAGCACCGGCUAACUACGUG
rnacentral:rRNA from 1 species